GCUGGGCGUGGUGGCGGGUGCCUGUAGUCCCAGCUACUUGGGAGGCUGAGACAGGAGAAUUGCUUGAACCUGGGAGGCAGAGGCUGCAGUGAGCCGAGAUCACACCACUGCACUCCAGCCUAGGCAACAGAGCAAGACUCUGUCUCAA
rnacentral:SRP_RNA from 1 species